rnacentral:rRNA from 1 species
GACGAACGCUGGCGGCGUGCUUAACACAUGCAAGUCGAACGGAAAGGCCCUGCUUUUGUGGGGUGCUCGAGUGGCGAACGGGUGAGUAACACGUGAGUAACCUGCCCUUGACUUUGGGAUAACUUCAGGCAACUGGGGCUACUACCGGAUAGGAGCUCCUGCUGCAUGGUGGGGGUUGGAACGUUUCGGCGGUUGGGGAUGGACUUGCGGCUUAUCAGCUUGUUGGUGGGGUAGUGGCUUACCAAGGCUUUGACGGAUAGCCGGCCUGAGAGGGUGACCGGCGACAUGGGGACUGAGAUACGGCCCAGACUCCUACGGGAGGCAGCAGUGGGGAAUAUUGCACAAUGGGCGGAAGCCUGAUGCAGCAACGCCGCGUGCGGGAUGACGGCCUUCGUGUUGUAAACCGCUUUCGCCUGUGACGAAGCGUGAGUGACGGUAAUGGGUAAAGAAGCACCGGCUAACUACGUG